ensembl:misc_RNA Metazoa_SRP Metazoan signal recognition particle RNA
GCUGGGCAUGGCAGUGCAUGCCUGAAGUCCCAGCUACUCAGGAGGCUGAGGCAGGAAGAUCACUUGAGUCCAGGAGUUUGAAGCUGCAGUGAGCCAUGUUUUUGCCACUGCACUCCAGCCUGAACAACAGAGAGAGAUCCUGUCUCAA